CCUCAGCCCAAUAGAGUUGCUAUCUUUGUUGAACUCCUCCACUCGUAGCAUGGGCAAGCCGAUCUCAAGAGGUAUGACGGCUUCAGUCUCGAAAGUCAGCUUGAAGGGAGUCUCUCCGAUUGAAAUCUACAGAGUUGUGCGAUACAUCCAGAGCACAUGGUAUAGUUCUUCAACCUAUAAUCCUUUAGCGUGAUCCACCCAAGC
rnacentral:lncRNA from 1 species